UAAAAAAUACUAGAAUUUUCAUCAGUACAUAUAGAAAAAAAAUCGAAUGUUGGAACUUCUAAAAGAAAUGAUUUCUUAUCUUGCGAAAAUCUAAAAGAAUAUUUUGACCAUUAUGAGUCAUCGAUUUUGUACAAUGAAUACUCUUAUGACCAAAAGCCUAAUGAGUAUAAGCAUAACCCAACUUUAAAAAAAGUUUUUCUGCAUGUUUUUCUAACCAAGUAAUUAUGCACUAAACAAGUGGAUUGACAUAAAAUAGUAACAAAUUUAUUGUCUCAAAAAAUAACUAUAAUCAUGCACUGAAAAACAACCUUUUGUCAACAAAAGAAUGGCACAAAUUUCCAUUGAUAAAGUAUAAGAUUCAUUUUCAUGUUGUGAAGAAUACAACUUUCUACAUCAGAUGAAAUAUAUGUUAAAGAAAGCUUAAAAAUAAGAAUAACAAAUCAUACCGCUCUUCAUUGCCAGAACCUCCACCACCUAUUAUGAAUAAGCCCAACGCUAAAAAGAUGCAAAAUGUUAUUCUCAACAAGCUUGCAGAAAUAAAAGUUCUUUUAAAAGAAGUUAUAGAAAUUAAGUUUCAGGCUACUGGGGUGAAGUUGCUAGAAUCAGUGGACGAAGUGGUUACACUGGAUAAUAAACUAAAAGAUAAAACCGAGUAUACUAAUUUGGUAUAAUCUAAUUAUCUUAAUUUUUAAUAAGUUUGUUUAAAUUUGGUUUACUAGUUUAGAAUCUAAAUGAAAAGUAUUUGUAAAUGAACUAAAAUAACUAGCUUAUGUUAGACUCAAUAUGUUGCAUUUUAUUUUCAAAUUUAAUGUUUUUACUUUUCAUAAUUUUAAGCAUUCAUAUAUUAAAAUAUAUUUUAAUUUAUUACAUAUAUUAAAAUAAAAAUCUUUAUAAAUAUAUUUCAGUUUAUUGUUAAAAUAUUUAUCAGGUUAUUUUCGAAUCAGUUACAGUCCAAAUUUAAUCGAAAAGGAAAUGGGGAAAAGAUAAGCUUAGAAAAUAUAGUAAAUAUAUGAAGUGUUUUACGAGAUAUCGGCGACAUGGAAGAAAAUGUUGACGGCAAUGCAGAAAUAUAGUUUCUUAUGUAUAUUUUUGUGAAAUAAAAAUUAAGUAAUGUUAGUUAAAA